rnacentral:rRNA from 1 species
UGCUUAACACAUGCAAGUCGAGCGAAGCAGUUAAUUUGAUUUCUUCCGAUUGAUUCUAAACUGACUGAGCGGGGGACGGGUGAGUAACGCGUGGGUGACCUGCCCCAUGCCGGGGGAUAACAGCUGGAAACGGCUGCGAAUACCGCAUAAACGCACACAGCUGCAUGGGUCGGUGUGAAAAACUCCGGUGGGAUGGGAUGGGCCCCCGUCUGAUAAUGCAUGUGGCGGGAUAACGCCCCACCAAACCGACAAUAACUAGCCGGCCUGAGAGGGCGACCGGCCACAUUGUGACUGAGACACGCCCCACACUCCUACGGGAGGCAGCAGUGGGGAAUAUUGCGCAAUGGGGGAAACCCUGAUGCACCGACACCCCGUGAGCGAAAAAAUAUUUCUGUAUGUAAACUUCUAUCACCACGGAAAAAAAUGACAGUACCUGACUAAAAAACUCCGGCUAUAUACAUGCCACCACCCGCGGUAAUACGUAUGGAGCAAGCGUUAUCCCGAUUUACUGUGUGUGAAGGGAGCGUAUGCGGUUAUGCAAGUCACAUAUGAAAGCCCGGGGCUUAACCCCCGGACUGCGUUUGAGACUGUGUCACUAUAGUGUCGGAGAGAUAAGUGCAAUUCCUAUUGUAUCGCUGAGAUGCGUAGAUAUCAGGAGGAACUCCAGUGGGGAAGGCGGCUUACUGGACGAUAACUGCCGUUGAGCCUGGAAAGCGUGGGGAGCAAACAGGAUUAGAUACCUUGUUAGUCCACGCGGUAAACGAUGAAUAUUAGGUGUUGGGGAGCAGAGCUCUUCGGUGCGGCAGCAAACCCAAUAAGUAUUCCACUUGGGGAGUACGUUGGCAAGAAUGAAAUUCAAAGGAAUUGACGGGGACCCGCCCAAGCGGUGGAGCAUGUGGUUUAAUUGGAAGCAACGGGAAGACCCUUACCAGUUCUUGACAUCUGGAUGACCGGUCUGUAAUGGGACUUUUCUUUCGGGCCAUACAAGCCAGGUGGUGCAUGGUGGUGUUCAGUUGGUGUCGUGAGAUGUUGGGUUAAGUCCCGCAACGAGCGCAACCCUUAUCUUUAGUAGCCAGCAGUAAGAUGGGCACUCUAGGGAGACUGCCGGAGACAAUCCGGAGGAAGGUGGGGAUGACGUCAAAUCAUCAUGCCCCUUAUGACCUGGGCUACACACGUGCUACAAUGGCGUAAACAAAGGGAAGCGAGAUCGCGAGGUUAAGCAAAUCUCAAAAAUAACGUCUCAGUUCGGAUUGUAGUCUGCAACUCGACUACAUGAAGCUGGAAUCGCUAGUAAUCGCGAAUCAGCAUGUCGCGGUGAAUACGUUCCCGGGUCUUGUACACACCGCCCGUCACACCAUGGGAGUCGAUAACGCCCGAAGCCGGUGACUCAACCGAAAGGAGAGAGCCGUCGAAGGCGGGAUGGAUAACUGGGGUGAA